rnacentral:rRNA from 1 species
GGGUUGUGAGGUUAAGCGACUAAGCGUACACGGUGGAUGCCCUGGCAGUCAGAGGCGAUGAAGGGCGUGCUAAUCUGCGAUAAGCGCCGGUAAGGUGAUAUGAACCGUUAUAACCGGCGAUACCCGAAUGGGGAAACCCAGUGUGACUCGUCACACUAUCAUUAACUGAAUCCAUAGGUUAAUGAGGCGAACCGGGGGAACUGAAACAUCUAAGUACCCCGAGGAAAAGAAAUCAACCGAGAUUCCCCCAGUAGCGGCGAGCGAACGGGGAGGAGCCCAGAGCCUGAAUCAGCAUGUGUGUUAGUGGAAGCGUCUGGAAAGGCGCGCGAUACAGGGUGACAGCCCCGUACACAAAAGCGCAUGUGCUGUGAGCUCGAUGAGUAGGGCGGGACACGUGGUAUCCUGUCUGAAUAUGGGGGGACCAUCCUCCAAGGCUAAAUACUCCUGACUGACCGAUAGUGAACCAGUACCGUGAGGGAAAGGCGAAAAGAACCCCGGCGAGGGGAGUGAAAAAGAACCUGAAACCGUGUACGUACAAGCAGUGGGAGCCCCACCACCAAAGCAUUUGCUGUACCGCGUUGACGGAGCGAAGCGACGUCAAACCGAUAAAACAGCAGUGUAAAGUGAGCCGCAGGGCGCUUUGCGCGACAGCGCAAAGGCAGGCGGUUUCGCGUAGCGAAAGCGAAUGCUUUGGGGUGGGGUGACUGCGUACCUUUUGUAU